CAAACCAAAGCUGGCGACCGGCGCACGGGUGAGUAACACGUAUCCAACCUGCCUCAUACUCGGGGAUAGCCUUUCAAAAGAAAGAUUAAUAUCCGAUAGCAUAUAUUUCCCGCAUGGGUUUUAUAUUAAAGAAAUUCGGUAUGAGAUGGGGAUGCGUUCCAUUAGUUUGUUGGGGGGGUAACGGCCCACCAAGACUACGAUGGAUAGGGGUUCUGAGAGGAAGGUCCCCCACAUUGGAACUGAGACACGGUCCAA
rnacentral:rRNA from 1 species